GCUGGUAAGGGUUGGAAUUGGAAUCAAACUUUGGAAUAUUCUGGAACUUUCCAAACGUUGGUGUUCUGCUUCAGAGUUCAGUCAUGAACUCCAGCAUCUGAGGCUUGGUGUUUCUGUCAUUGUGACUCAUCUUCUGUGGGCUCCUUAUGAGAACUGAGAGUAGACUGCCUGCUUGAUGCUCCUGGAUUUUCAAAAGUUUGAAUUGUCUAAAUCUAAUUUUUAUAAAGUACCCAAUAUCAAAUAUUUUAUUAUAGUAAUAGAAAAUGGGUUCUAUACUGGUACUAAUGUUCUCUCAUAGUUAGUUUGGACCGGAGAUGAGAAUAUUGAUUGUUCACUGCCAUGUUUAUUCUGUCUGAAUCUGAGAAGUGCCACAGUUUAAAGUUCCCAUAAGUGAAUAUUUAUUGAAUAAAACCCACUGGAUGAUGAGGUUUCAUCUUGUUUGUGUUUAUGAAUAUUUCAAAUAAGAAAACCCUGAGAA
rnacentral:sRNA from 1 species